CACUGUCUACGCAUCAUUGAUUGUCACAUCGUUUCUGCUUAAUACUUCAUUCCAGUCAUCAUCUAUCUCAGCGACAGAUCUCUGAAGCUUCUGUACAACAAUCAUUUCCACAUAAAUUCAGCAUUAUUUCAU